GCCGGGGUGGCGGAGCGGUCAAUCGCACCUGACUGUAAAUCAGGCGGCCUAGUGUCUACGGGAGUUCGAAUCUCUCCCCCGGCA
rnacentral:tRNA from 1 species